rnacentral:rRNA from 1 species
UCCGUAGGUGAACCUGCGGAAGGAUCAUUAAAGAAUCGCCCCGUUUUUUGAAAUGGGUUCUAUUCCCAAACCGUGUAUACAUACCUUUGUUGCUUUGGCAGGCCGUCUUUUAGGCGUCGGCUCCGGCUGACUGCGCUUGCCAGAGGACCCAAACUCGUUUGUUUAGUGAUGUCUGAGUACUAUAUAAUAGUUAAAACUUUCAACAACGGAUCUCUUGGUUCUGGCAUCGAUGAAGAACGCAGCGAAAUGCGAUAAGUAAUGUGAAUUGCAGAACUCAGUGAAUCAUCGAAUCUUUGAACGCACAUUGCGCCCCUUGGUAUUCCGAGGGGCAUGCCUGUUCGAGCGUCAUUAUAACCACUCAAGCCUCGGCUUGGUCUUGGGGUUCGCGGUAUCGCGGCCCUUAAAAUCAGUUGCGGUGCCGUCUGGCUCUAAGCGUAGUAAUUCUCUCGCUAUAGGGUCCCGGCGGUUACCUGCCAGAACCCCCCCAUUUUUUACGGUUGACCUCGGAUCAGGUAGGGAUACCCGCUGAACUUAAGCAUAUC